rnacentral:lncRNA from 1 species
UACUACUGCAGCAGCAUUGAUGGGAAAGAUGGCACAAACAGAGGCAGGCAGCUAAAGUUGAGACAGAAAGAAAUGACAGAGAUUGUACUCGUAUUGUCUCGUGACCUUACAGUGCAGCAAGGCACAAGAGUCUAACAACAACAGCACCAACAUGUACCGUGCAGAUGCGAUAUGUCCCUUGCCGACAACCACAAGGCCGUGGCCUCCCUAUGGCAAUGGCGAAACAUGAAGAAGCCGAUCGAAACAUGGAAGAAACUAAGAACAAAUCUACUUGACAGGUACAGUACAUCACUGGUAUAUGUUUAUAUCCUACUGUAUAGGUACAUGGAGGACCUGAUCAGCCAAGCCUCUUCCAUUGCACACCUUCUGAAAUCAAAUCCAGGCAGUUCAACCGUGCCUGGUGAUCAUUGGGAAGAUGGUCUUGGAGCUGCAUCAUCAGAUAAAUUAAGAGGAGACGUUAGUAACUUGGUACUUAUCAGAUGCUGAUGG